rnacentral:rRNA from 1 species
UCCUACGGGGGGCAGCAGUGAGGAAUAUUGGUCAAUGGUCGGGAGACUGAACCAGCCAAGCCGCGUGAGGGAGGAAGGACCUAUGGUUUGUAAACUUCUUUUAUAGGGGAAUAAAGGUAUCCACGUGUGGAUAUUUGCAUGUACCCUAUGAAUAAGCAUCGGCUAACUCCGUGCCAGCAGCCGCGGUAAUACGGAGGAUGCGAGCGUUAUCCGGAUUUAUUGGGUUUAAAGGGUGCGUAGGCGGAAUAUCAAGUCAGCGGUAAAAAUUCGGGGCUCAACCCCGUCGUGCCGUUGAAACUGAUGUU